UCUGCUGUAGAAUCUAGGGACGCUACAAAAAUUUUGAUGCAGGCAAAAUAAAAUAAAAUAGAAUUCAUGUAUUUUUUUAAUGUUUUCCGCACACAAGGGCAUUUCUGUAAUUUUUACACUUUCUGAAAAUUAUGGAAUGUUGUAGGUCUUGGUUUUAUUUCUAUUUAGUAUUUUAUUGUUCCUAAAGAAUAAGGAGCUUUAUUAGGUUUUCCCUAUCCUAGAUAGGACCAUUAGUAUUUUCCUACAUAGGAAUACAUGUCCUUUUUGGACUUGGAGCUUGGAGUACUAGGAACUCCAUCUCAACGUUAUGUAAUCAUUCAAACAGACAGAGAAACCACAUUGCAUGCUUGAGUUACCAGGCUGAGCUCCA